UGGGGAAUAUUGCACAAUGGGCGCAAGCCUGAUGCAGCCAUGCCGCGUGUGUGAAGAAGGCCUUCGGGUUGUAAAGCACUUUCAGCGAGGAGGAAGGUGGUGGACUUAAUACGUUCAUCAAUUGACGUUACUCGCAGAAGAAGCACCGGCUAACUCCGUGCCAGCAGCCGCGGUAAUACGGAGGGUGCAAGCGUUAAUCGGAAUUACUGGGCGUAAAGCGCACGCAGGCGGUUUGUUAAGUCAGAUGUGAAAUCCCCGGGCUCAACCUGGGAACUGCAUUUGAAACUGGCAAGCUAGAGUCUCGUAGAGGGGGGUAGAAUUCCAGGUGUAGCGGUGAAAUGCGUAGAGAUCUGGAGGAAUACCGGUGGCGAAGGCGGCCCCCUGGACGAAGACUGACGCUCAGGUGCGAAAAGCGUGGGGAGCAAAACAGGAUUAGAUACCCUGGUAGUCCACGCUGUAAAACGAUGUCGAUUUUGGAGGUUGUGCCCUUGAGGCGUGGCUUCCGGAGCUAACGCGUUAAAUCGACCGCCUGGGGAGUACGGCC
rnacentral:rRNA from 1 species